rnacentral:rRNA from 1 species
UACGUAGGGUCCGAGCGUUGUCCGGAGUUACUGGGCGUAAAGCGCGCGCAGGCGGCCCGCGAGGUGUCACGUGAAAGCCCCGGGCUCAACUCGGGAGGGUCGUGGCAAACCGGCGGGCUUGAGGCCGGUAGAGGUGGGUGGAACUCCUGGUGGAGUGGUGGAAUGCGCAGAUAUCAGGAGGAACACCGGUGGCGAAGGCGGGUCUCUGGGCAGUAACUGACGCUGAGGAGCGAAAGCGUGGGGAGCGAACAGG